rnacentral:rRNA from 1 species
AACAAACGCUGGCGGCGUGCCUAAUACAUGCAAGUCGAACGGGGAAAGCUUUCGGGUGAGUACUAGUGGCGCACGGGUGAGGAACGCGUGGAUAAUCUGCCUUAGAGUGGGGGAUAACUAGUCGAAAGAUUAGCUAAUACCGCAUAAGACCACGAGAGCUGCGGCUUUUGAGGUCAAAGGUUUUUCGCUCUAAGAUGAGUCCGCGUAAGAUUAGCUAGUUGGUGAGGUAACGGCUCACCAAGGCGACGAUCUUUAACUGGUCUGAGAGGAUGAUCAGUCACACUGGAACUGAGACACGGUCCAGACUCCUACGGGAGGCAGCAGUAGAGAAUAUUGCACAAUGGAGGAAACUCUGAUGCAGCGACGCCGCGUGAGUGAUGAAGGCCUUCGGGUCGUAAAGCUCUGUCGCAGGGGAAUAACACAAUGAAGGUACCCUGUAAGAAAGGAUCGGCUAACUUCGUG